AGAGUUUGAUCCUGGCUCAGGAUGAACGCUGGCGGCGUGCUUAACACAUGCAAGUCGAACGAAGAUGCCGGAGUGCUUGCACUUUGGCAGACUGAGUGGCGGACGGGUGAGUAACGCGUGGGUAACCUGCCUUAUACAGGGGGAUAACAGUUGGAAACGACUGCUAAUACCGCAUAAGCGCACGGUAUCGCAUGAUACAGUGUGAAAAACUCCGGUGGUAUAAGAUGGACCCGCGUCUGAUUAGCUUGUUGGUGAGGUAACGGCCACCAAGGCGACGAUCAGUAGCCGGCCUGAGAGGGUGAACGGCCACGAUUGGGACUGAGACACGGCCCAAACUCCUACGGGAGCA
rnacentral:rRNA from 1 species